AUGAACGCUGGCGGCGUGCCUAAUACAUGCAAGGCGAGCGAACAGACGAGGAGCUUGCUCCUUUGACGUUAGCGGCGGACGGGUGAGUAACACGUGGAUAACCUACCUAUAAGACUGGGAUAACUUCGGGAAACCGGAGCUAAUACCGGAUAACAUGUUGAACCGCAUGGUUCAACAGUGAAAGACGGUCUUGCUGUCACUUAUAGAUGGAUCCGCGCCGCAUUAGCUAGUUGGUAAGGUAACGGCUUACCAAGGCAACGAUGCGUAGCCGACCUGAGAGGGUGAUCGGCCACACUGGAACUGCGACACGGUCCAGACUCCUACGGGAGGCAGCAGUAGGGAAUCUUCCGCAAUGGGCGAAAGCCUGACGGAGCAACGCCGCGUGAGUGAAGAAGGUCUUCGGCUCGUAAAACUCUGUUAUUAGGGAAGAACAAAUGUGUAAGUAACUAUGCACGUCUUGACGGUACCUAAUCAGAAAGCCACGGCUAACUACGUG
rnacentral:rRNA from 1 species